rnacentral:lncRNA from 1 species
AAACGUUCUUUCAGCUCACAGUGAACAGGCUCCAAAUGGGACUGCGCAUCCAAAUCAAAAUGAAGCCUAUGAUCCAUUGGCUUUAGUUGCAGAACACCAUUCAGCAUCUAAUGCUGAUGUGAAAACUGAUCAGUCAAGUAUUCUUUCAGCUUACAGUGAACAGGCUCCAAAUGGGACUGCGCAUCCAAAUCAAAAUGAAGCCUAUGAUCCUUGGCUUUAGUUGCAGAACACCAUUCAGCAUCUAAUGCUGAUGUGAAAACUGAUCAGUCAAGUUCAGCUGAAAAACUUGGUACUAAUGAGAAUCUGAAUCAAUCCUCACAAAUUGCUGAAAUGGAUAUGCUUGAUGUAAAUCGACAGUUACCUUGCAAGAAUCUGGGAGCUUCUACUGAGCAGAUGUCGGGCCUUGGUGCAAAAACAGUAUUGGAUUUGGCAAAAACAAUGUUAAAGUCAACUGU